rnacentral:rRNA from 1 species
UACGAAGGGUGCAAGCGUUACUCGGAAUUACUGGGCGUAAAGCGUGCGUAGGCGGUUUGUUAAGUCCGUUGUGAAAGCCCUGGGCUCAACCUGGGAAUUGCAGUGGAUACUGGCAAGCUAGAGUACGGUAGAGGAUGGUGGAAUUCCCGGUGUAGCGGUGAAAUGCGUAGAGAUCGGGAGGAACACCCGUGGCGAAGGCGGCCACCUGGACCAGUACUGACGCUGAGGCACGAAAGCGUGGGGAGCAAAC